rnacentral:rRNA from 1 species
GUGGGGAAUAUUCCGCAAUGGACGAAAGUCUGACGGAGCAACGCCGCGUGAGCGAUGAAGGCCUUUGGGUCGUAAAGCUCUGUCCUUGGGGAAGAAACAAAUGACGGUACCCUUGGAGGAAGCCCCGGCUAACUACGUGCCAGCAGCCGCGGUAAUACGUAGGGGGCGAGCGUUAUCCGGAAUUAUUGGGCGUAAAGAGUGCGUAGGUGGUUUCUUAAGCGUGAGGUGAAAGGCAGUGGCUCAACCAUUGUAAGCCUUGCGAACUGGGAGACUUGAGUGUGGGAGAGGAAAGCGGAAUUCCUAGUGUAGCGGUGAAAUGCGUAGAUAUUAGGAGGAACACCAGUGGCGAAGGCGGCUUUCUGGACCAUAACUGACGCUGAGGCACGAAAGCGUGGGGAGCAAACAGGAUUAGAAACCCUGGUAGUCC